rnacentral:rRNA from 1 species
GAUGAACGCUGGCGGCGUGCCUAAUACAUGCAAGUCGAGCGAACAGACGAGGAGCUUGCUCCUCUGACGUUAGCGGCGGACGGGUGAGUAACACGUGGAUAACCUACCUAUAAGACUGGGAUAACUUCGGGAAACCGGAGCUAAUACCGGAUAAUAUAUUGAACCGCAUGGUUCAAUAGUGAAAGACGGUUUUGCUGUCACUUAUAGAUGGAUCCGCGCCGCAUUAGCUAGUUGGUAAGGUAACGGCUUACCAAGGCGACGAUGCGUAGCCGACCUGAGAGGGUGAUCGGCUACACUGGAACUGAGACACGGUCCAGACUCCUACGGGAGGCAGCAGUAGGGAAUCUUGAGCCAUGGGCGAAAGCCUGACGGAGCAACGCCGCGUGAGUGAUGAAGGUCUUCGGAUCGUAAGACUCUGUUAUUAGGGAAGAACAAAUGUGUAAGUAACUAUGCACGUCUCGACGGUACCUAAUCAGAAAGCCACGGCUAACUACGUG